UUGAACGCUGGCGGUAUGCUUUACACAUGCAAGUCGAACGGCAGCACGGGGCAACCUGGUGGCGAGUGGCGAACGGGUGAGUAACAUAUCGGAACAUAUCCGGAAGUGGGGGAUAACGUAGCGAAAGUUACGCUAAUACCGCAUAUGCCCUGAGGGGGAAAGGGGGGGAUCGCAAGACCUCUCGCUUUCGGAGUGGCCGAUAUCAGAUUAGCUAGUUGGUGAGGUAAAGGCUCACCAAGGCGACGAUCUGUAGCUGGUCUGAGAGGACGACCAGCCACACUGGAACUGAGACACGGUCCAGACUCCUACGGGAGGCAGCAGUGGGGAAUUUUGGACAAUGGGCGCAAGCCUGAUCCAGCCAUACCGCGUGAGUGAAGAAGGCCUUCGGGUUGUAAAGCUCUUUCAGCCGGAAAGAAAUCGUACAGAUUAACACUCUGUAUGGAUGACGGUACCGGAAGAAGAAGCACCGGCUAACUACGU
rnacentral:rRNA from 1 species